CGGCGGACGGGUGAGUAAUGCCUAGGAAUCUGCCUGGUAGUGGGGGACGAACGUUUCGAAAGGAACGCUAAUACCGCAUACGUCCUACGGGAGAAAGCAGGGACCUUCGGGCCUUGCGCUAUCAGAUGAGCCUAGGUCGGAUUAGCUAGUUGGUGAGGUAAUGGCUCACCAAGGCGACGAUCCGUAACUGGUCUGAGAGGAUGAUCAGUCACACUGGAACUGAGACACGGUCCAGACUCCUACGGGAGGCAGCAGCG
rnacentral:rRNA from 1 species